GAUGAACGCUGGCGGCGUGCCUAAUACAUGCAAGUCGAGCGAAUGGAUUAAGAGCUUGCUCUUAUGAAGUUAGCGGCGGACGGGUGAGUAACACGUGGGUAACCUGCCCAUAAGACUGGGAUAACUCCGGGAAACCGGGGCUAAUACCGGAUAACAUUUUGAACCACAUGGUUCGAAAUUGAAAGGCGGCUUCGGCUGUCAGUUAUGGAUGGACCCGCGUCGCAUUAGCUAGUUGGUGAGGUAACGGCUCACCAAGGCAACGAUGCGUGGCCGACCUGAGAGGGUGAUCGGCCACACUGGGACUGAGACACGGCCCAGACUCCUACGGGAGGCAGCAGUAGGGAAUCUUCCGCAAUGGACGAAAGUCUGACUGAGCAACGCCGCGUGAGUGAUGAAGGCUUUCGGGUCGUAAAACUCUGUUGUUAGGGAAGAACAAGUGCUAGUUGAAUAAGCUGGCACCUUGACGGUACCUAACCAGAAAGCCACGGCUAACUACGUGCCAGCCGCCGCCGUAA
rnacentral:rRNA from 1 species